CUACGUGCCAGCAGCCGCGGUAAUACGUAGGGCGCGAGCGUUGUCCGGAAUUAUUGGGCGUAAAGAGCUUGUAGGCGGUUUGUCGCGUCUGCUGUGAAAGGCCGGGGCUUAACUCCGUGUAUUGCAGUGGGUACGGGCAGACUAGAGUGCAGUAGGGGAGACUGGAACUCCUGGUGUAGCGGUGGAAUGCGCAGAUAUCAGGAAGAACACCGAUGGCGAAGGCAGGUCUCUGGGCUGUAACUGACGCUGAGAAGCGAAAGCAUGGGGAGCGAACAGGAUUAGAUACCCUGGUAGUCCAUGCCGUAAACGUUGGGCACUAGGUGUGGGGGACAUUCCACGUUUUCCGCGCCGUAGCUAACGCAUUAAGUGCCCCGCCUGGGGAGUACGGCCGCAAGGCUAAAACUCAAAGAAAUUGACGGGGGCCCGCACAAGCGGCGGAGCAUGCGGAUUAAUUCGAUGCAACGCGAAGAACCUUACCAAGGCUU
rnacentral:rRNA from 1 species